GACGGACGCUGGCGGCGUGCUUAACACAUGCAAGUCGAACGGAAAGGCCCUGCUUUUGUGGGGUGCUCGAGUGGCGAACGGGUGAGUAACACGUGAGUAACCUGCCCUUGACUUUGGAAUAACUUCAGGAAACUGGGGCUAAUACCGGAUAGGAGCUCCUGCUGCAUGGUGGGGGUUGGAAAGUUUCGGCGGUUGGGGAUGGACUCGCGGCUUAUCAGCUUGUUGGUGGGGUAGUGGCUUACCAAGGCUUUGACGGGUAGCCGGCCUGAGAGGGUGACCGGCCACAUUGGACUGAGAUACGGCCCAGACUCCUACGGGAGGCAGCAGUGGGGAAUAUUGCACAAUGGGCGGAAGCCUGAUGCAGCAACGCCGCGUGCGGGAUGACGGCCUUCGGGUUGUAAACCGCUUUCGCCUGUGACGAAGCGUGAGUGACGGUAAUAGGUAAAGAAGCACCGGCUAACUACGUGCCAGCAGCCGCAGUAAUAC
rnacentral:rRNA from 1 species